GGCGGCCCCCUGGGUGAAGACUGACGCUGAGGUACGAAAGCGUGGGGAGCGAACAGGAUUAGAUACCCUGGUAGUCCAGGCUGUAAACGAUGUCGAUUUGAAGGUUGUGGUCUAUGAAUUAUGGCUUUCGGAGCUAACGUGUUAAAUCGACCGCCUGGGGAGUACGGCCGCAAGGUUAAAACUCAAAUGAAUUGACAGGGGCCCGCACAAGCGGUGGAGCAUGUGGUUUAAUUCGAUNCAACGCGAAGAACCUUACCUACCCUUGACAUCCAAAGAACUGUAUAGAGAUAUACA
rnacentral:rRNA from 1 species